rfam:Felis catus isolate Cinnamon breed Abyssinian chromosome B3, whole genome shotgun sequence.
GCCUGGGUGGCUCAGUUGGUUGAGCGUCUGACUUUGGCUCAGGUCAUAAUCUCACAGUCUAUGGGUUCGAGCCCCACGUCGGGCU